rnacentral:lncRNA from 1 species
CUCUCUCUCUCUCUGCAGUUCUACAAAUACCAACUCGCAGCCACAAUCCUUCAAAAUUCAACUCUCUCCAUCUGUGUGAUCCAAAACGCUUACAAUGGCCGAGUCCGCAGUCUCCCCAACUCCUCUAUUGAAAGAUGAGCUCGACAUAGUCAUCCCCACGAUCAGAAACCUUGAUUUCUUGGAGAUGUGGAGGCCAUUCUUCCAGCCAUACCAUCUCAUCAUUGUUCAGGAUGGUGACCCCUCUAAAACCAUUAAGGUCCCUGAAGGUUUCGACUAUGAGCUCUAUAACAGAAAUGAUAUUAACAAAAUUCUGGGUCCCAAAGCUUCUUGUAUUUCCUUCAAGGACUCUGCUUGUAGGUGCUUUGGCUACUUGGUUUCUAAGAAGAAGUA